UAGCCGUAAACGAUACUCGCUAGGUGUCGGCCACGGUGCGACCGUUGUCGGUGCCGUAGGGAAGCCGUGAAGCGAGCCACCUGGGAAGUACGGCCGCAAGGCUGAAACUUAAAGGAAUUGGCGGGGGAGCACAACAACGGGUGGAGCUUGCGGUUUAAUUGGAUUCAACGCCGGAAAUCUUACCGGGACCGACAGCAACAUGAAGGCCAAGCUGAAGACAUUGCCGGAUUAGCUGAGAGGUGGUGCAUGGCGUAGUCGUGU
rnacentral:rRNA from 1 species